CCGUACCUCCCCACGCCCCUCCCCGAUCUAGCAAACCUUCCCACGCCCCCACUCCAUCUCCGAUACAACCACCCACCCUCGCCGAUGCCGGCCCAACCCCACCGCCGCCCCGGGAACCAGCCGCCGCUCGCCCCGGAAAUUGGCUGCCGCGCCGUCCGCCGCCAUGAGGAUCGACCCACGUGUCGCCCCUGCCCUGUAUUGUGCCGCCGCCAGGGAUCACGGCGCCGCUGCUGCUGUCUUCGCCCUCCACGGAUCAUGCCACUGCCGCCGCCACCCUCCCCAGAUCGUGCCACCACCGUCCGCCGCUAGCUACUGCUGCCUCCGCAGUCCUUCGCUAGCUGCUGCUGCAGUCCACCGCUAGCUCAGGUGGGGGAGGCGGUGCUUCUCCGGCUACCCCUGCGUCACCUGCUGCCACGCUGAACAGCAUCCGGACACCACCAUGGAUUGACCCUGGUGCCGCUCGAACUUCUCCACGCGGCAACUGGUCGCUCGAACUUCCCCUUGGCAGCCAUGGUGGACCUCUGUAAACUCUCAUGGCGGCUCCUCCUCCCUUGUAGUACAAGCUAGGUCAACUGUGGCUCGAUGGAGACGCAAAAAAUGGUGGUAUGCACUAAGACAAAUCCUCCAGGCUGCCUGUAUCGUUAGCGGCAGAAGGUCAUCGUCCUGUCCUAGUGUGCGGACAUGUUGUACGCCUUGGUCAUCUCUGUGCUGGUGAUGAGCGUGACGGUGACGCCGCAUCCCGCACUACAACCGGGCGCCACCCUCCGCCCCAACUAUGCCGGCGGUGCGUCCGACGACCUCGUCCGUCCUUGAGCACCUCUUCCACGCAAUCAGCCGCACAUACACAGACACACCUGUACCCCGUAUACAUGAGCUUUGGAGCUUCUGAACUCUCUGAAUUUGUGUGCAUGUUUUCUUUAUUGUGUCAUUGCAUAGCUCCACCACUGAAUUUGGAAAUUCAGUCAAUGCUUAUACUUGAUAAAAAAGAGCAAGAAACAGUGACAUAUUAUGUGUGUUUUUCACGGAAGUGAGCUGGGAAUUUAGAUGUUCCUUGUCAUAAUAUUGAGGGCAUUCAUCAUUCAACUAUUUAUGUUAUCCUUCGUGCUCUGACUGAGUGAAGUUAUGUGAACUAGCAUAGUAUAUUGUUAUUUUCUGAUUUUGAGUCGUGGCAUACAGUCCUCACACGAAGUAGUUGCAAUAUAUUGGAGCAUAUUAUGCACAUAGUUAUCCUGCCUAAUGCCUAAAGUGAUACCUUUUCAAUCUUUGUGCUGACUACUAAACAUAACUAUUUUAGGUCUUACCUGACCCAUGGUCCCCUGCCACCACGUAGCCUCCUCCCAGUGGGGCCCCAUCACCACAGCACUCAGCGUGUUUUGCCGCUGCCAGCUCUGACGUUCAACUGCGGAGCCCCAAGAAUUUCGGCUCAGCCACCCGGUUCCCACUGCUGUUGCGCCCGGACGAGGCCCAGGUCCUUCUUCUUUUGGGCUCAUACUUUUGCAGGUAUUUGAGUUUCAGUAGGUAUUUGAGUUCAGGAAAAGAUUUGGUGAGAGACAGUGUGAGCGAUUUUCAACACUUCUUAUUACUUCGGUUCAGAUUGGCGAAUCCUCACAUUACCGGACAUCGACCACGUCGCUCUUGUACUGAUGAAAUUUUUGCACGGGUUAAUUGUGGAUGGAUCAAGUGUAUCAUCGAUACUUUGUUUGUGUAUAUGUGAAUGCAUCUUCUUUGUAUCAAAAACAGUUGUGUUGUUUAUCAUGUGGUAUGUACCAAAAAAUUCUUUUGGCCCUUGUUUGAUCUGUACAAUAGUCCAAUCUUGAAAAAAUUACACAUUCUGCGGCAAAAGGUGUGGAGUGGGAAAUGUUAAAUCAUCCAGUAAAAAAGUUUCAAGGAUUCUCUCUUGAAAAAAAAUGUAGGAAAUGUUAAAUAUCUGGAAUUCACAUAAAAAAUACAAGAAGUUCAAUUACCAAACUUCAUUCAGUACAUAAUAUAUAGUAUAAAACAAAAAUAGGAAAGUAAAAAAAUACAGAAGUUCAAUUACCAAACUUCAUGAAAAAAAUACGGAAGUUCAAUUACCAAGCUGUUGUUGUUUUGGAGGUUGAAAGGAAACUAAUAAAAAAGUUAGCAUGACAAAACCAAAAGAAGUCAGGAACUUAAAACCAAUAAAAUGCCAUGACAAAAUCAUUCCUUUCAUGUGGGUUUCGUAGAAAAUGUUGCAUUUUUUGGUUGCGUGAACGGUAAAAUGUUCCAGUAUCACAAUCGGCUUAUAUUUCAUGCUCUUUUGAAAACCAUAUUUUUCUCUAAGAAUAAAACUAAGAAGUUCAAAUUAAAGUAACGGAUAAGUUCGACGUUGGUAAAAAACUCAAAUUUUUAUAAACCGAUAAAAACCAACAAGUUUGAAUUAAAUUAAAAUACCAAUUCAAAAAGUCUA